CAAAUUUUGAAGAAGAAAUAAUACCUUUUGUUAGGCUGACUGAUACAGUAGCAAAAAGCAUCCGAGCAGCCUUGGAGGCAGAAGCCUUGGCCUUGGACAUGCAAGCCCUUCGUCCAGGCUCAGACAGCAGCUUCUGUUUUGGGUGCACAAGCCUUUUUUCAGCUCUGAAUUAGGAGCUUUUAUGUGAGACAGGGAGAGGGGCUUCUGUAUCUGAAUGCUGGCUUGUUUUCUGCAGCUAUAUCAGCUGGUCUAAUACAGGAGAUCGUGUCUCCCUUGUACGUCUUACGGAUCUCAGCGAUAAGGUGCCAGGACAUUGCAUGCUAAUAUUUCAGCACAGUUUUUGGAUACCGCAGGAUUUUUAGAUUUUUCUGCAGACAGCUUUUGAACACAGUUUGCACUGUGCCUUUUUGACUGGGGCUUUAACAAAGAAGGGACAAACUAAAAUGGGAAACUGCCAGCGAAAGGUGUUAGUAUAUUCAGUAGCCAGUCACAGAUAGACUAUUGAGGCUCUCCUUCAGACUAGAGACCUGGCAAGCUGGGGCUCAGGGCAGCCACGAUGCACAUUUCGGAGCCCUCCUGGACAAGCAGUUUGCAGGCUGCAUCUGCUCUGUUUGCUGUCCCAGGACGUCGGGAGAUGGUGUAAAAGGCAGGUCUAAUUCCACAAAACUGUGGCAGAAGGACCAGCUGCAGAGAAGGGACAAAACAGUUGCCACAGUCCAAAAUGGAAAAAGAUUUUUCAUUUUGAGGACAAAGCAUAUGCAAAUUUGCCACGCUUCCAAAACUCAUCAGAGGUGAAACGGCAGAGCGUCUGCUUGUGCUGGCUUCCUUGCACUGAGAGAGCAUUUGCCCUAGCGCUUCAGAGAGGCUCUCACAGAUGGAGAAGAUGGCUCUUUGGCUAGAAGAGGGGGCUGUGCUGAGGUGCACUAAUAAAGGAAUAAAAGCCUCAAAAUAGGCGAGGCA
rnacentral:lncRNA from 1 species